GCCCUCGUCGUUCAAUGGAUAGGACGCCAGAUUGCGGAUCUGGCAAUAGGGGUUCGAUUCCCUUCGAGGGCA
rnacentral:tRNA from 1 species